GGAAGGAUCAUUCCUAAAAAGCGUUGGCUUUUGUCAACCAGUAGCACUGGUGGGGUUGCCUUCUUGCAGCCUUAGAACUGUGAGCCAAGAUAACCCGUAUCCAAAACUUUUAACCAGGAAACGUUUGAAUAGUCUGAUUAUUAAAGGGUCUAAUCGAAAGAUAUGGAUACCUAUUUAAAAUUAAACAACUAUUGGCAACGGAUACCUCGGUUCUCACAACGAUGAAGAACGCAGCGAAACGCGAUAAUUAGUGCGAAUUGCAGAAUUCAGUGAAUCAUCGAGUCUUUGAACGCAAGUUGCGCCCUUGGGUACUCCUGGGGGCAUGCCUCUUUCAGUGUCGUUUAAAAACCUCAAAUCAUCUUUGAUUUGGAGAAUGAGCUAUCUUUAAAGUUGCUCUAAGGUUCUGGAUUAUCACUAUGUCUUUAGUCAAUGAUGGCCAAAGUUGUUUGAAUGAAGACAAUUACUAAUUGCUAGUUGUUCCUAGUUCGUGCAUUUCUUAACUAUUAUUAAAGUCAUAGCAAUCCCGCACACCAAUAUUACAAACAAGACCUGAGAGAGGUAAGAUUACCCGCCGAACUUAAGCAUAUCACUAAGCGGAGGAAAAGAAACUAAAUAGGAUUCCCCUAGUAACGGCGAGUGAAAAGGGAAGAGCCCAACCCGAGAAUCCAUCAACUCGUGUGGUGGAAUUGUGGGUUAUGGAGGCAGUGUCAGUAAAGGACCUGGUCUAAGUGUGUUGGAAUGCACUGGCAGAGAGGGUGAGACCCCCGUUCUGGGCUGGGAUACCUUUGCGUACGACUUGUUUUCCUAGAGUAGGUUUGCUUGAGAGUGCAGACUGAAGUGGGAGGUAAAUUCCUUCCAAGGCUAAAUACAUGUGAGAGACCGAUAGCGCACAAGUACCGUGAGGGAAAGGUGAAAAGGACUUUGAAAAGAGAGUCAAAAGUACUUGAAAUUGUCAGUAUACAAGCGAUAGAGUCUAGUGCAUGGCCUCGCCAUAUUUCCUGGGUGUUUUGAUGUCCAGGUUCUGUGAGUGAGGCUUGUGUCAGCAUUGAUUCGCGAUGCAGGAAAAAGGCUUUUGUCUGGGUAGGUAUUCCUUCGGGGAUGCUGAUGAGAUGGUUGUCAGUAACUGUGUUGUUGAUUGUGUGCUGACGAAAUGGGCUUUAUCGACCCGUCUUGAAACACGGACCAAGGAGUCUUACGCAUUGGCGAGUCAAUGGGUGGUAAACCCUACGGCGCAAUGAAAGUGAAUGAGUACUUGUGCUCAGAGGUGUGCAGCUGUUUGACAGCUUCAACAUCGCCCGGCAGUUCAUUUAUGUUCUGUUCGAGGUCGAGCCUAUUCGUAAGGACCCGAAAGAUGGUGAACUAUGCCUGAGCAGGGUGAAGCCAGGGGAAACUCUGGUGGAAGCUCGUAGCGAUACUGACGUGCAAAUCGUUCGUCGGACUUGGGUAUAGGGGCGAAAGACUAAUCGAACCAUCUAGUAGCUGGUUCCCUC
rnacentral:misc_RNA from 1 species